ACAGCCGUUGCACACGAGUCAGUCGAUCCUAAGCCCUAGGAGAAAUCCUAUGUUGAUGACGGUGUUUGAGUCACGAAAAUGUAAUAUCUAAUUACGACACACACCCGUGCGGGCGAAAGGGAAUCCGGUU
rnacentral:rRNA from 1 species